rnacentral:rRNA from 1 species
CCUACGGGAGGCAGCAGUGGGGAAUCUUGCGCAAUGCGCGAAAGCGUGACGCACCAACACCGCGUGGAGGAAGACGGCCUUAGGGUUGUAAACCUCUUUAAGAUGGGACGAAGGUGAUGCGGUGAAUAGCCGAUGUCAUUGACGGUACCGUCAGAAGAAGCUCCGGCUAACUACGUGCCAGCAGCCGCGGUAAUACGUAGGGAGCGAGCGUUGUCCGGAAUCAUUGGGCGUAAAGAGCAUGUAGGUGGAUCAAUUAGUCUGCUGUGAAAGUCAAAGGCUCAACCUUUGAAAGCCGGUGGAUACUGUUGGUCUAGAGUACGGAAGAGGCGAGUGGAAUUCCUGGUGUAGCGGUGGAAUGCGCAGAUAUCAGGAGGAACACCAAUAGCGAAGGCAGCUCGCUGGGACGUUACUGACACUGAGAUGCGAAAGCGUGGGGAGCAAACAGGAUUAGAUACCCCUGGUAGUCCACGCCGUAAACGAUGGGUACUAGAUGUGGGAGGUGUCGACUCCUCCCGUAUCGUCGCUAACGCAGUAAGUACCCCGCCUGGGGAGUACCGCCGCAAGGCUAAAACUCAAAUGAAUUGACGG